rnacentral:tRNA from 1 species
UGCAUCGGCCGGGAAUCGAACCCGGGCAGCCCGCGUGGCAGCCGAGCAUUCUACCACUGAACCACCGAUGC